GGUGAGUGAAAGAAGGAUCUAAAGCUGUCAAAAGAUUUCAAGACCCCCUUAACAUAAAAUUGUCCAUAUUUUGAGUUAGAGCUGAUGAAGUUUUCUAUAAUUUUGAUAUAAUUUGUCCCAAAAGUAGUACAACACACUGUAAAAAUAUUAUUGAGAAAGCGCAGGUGGGAUUUUUUUUAAUUUUCAUUUAUUGUCUAAAAGAAAUGCACUACGAAAUAACUGUGUACUCGGACCCUAUGUU
rnacentral:lncRNA from 1 species